UGUUGUUGCCAUGGUAAUUCUGCUCAGUAUGAGAGGAACCGCAGGUUCACACAUUUGAUGUAUGUGCUUGGUUGAGGAGUCAAUGGGGCGAAGCUACCAUCUGUGAGAUUAUGACUGAACACCUCUAAGUCAGAAUCUCGCCCAGGUGGAACGAUACGGCAGCGCUGGAGGAGCCAUAGUUGGCCUUGGAUAGCCAGUCCCCCACGGUCCCCGCCAGUGGGCCAUCACCCGCAUCCCACCGCCUCACGCUGGGACUGGAGUCCGGUGCCGAGAACCCUUUCUCCCUGGACAUGGGGCGUGGCUGGAAAGGUGGCCUCCCCCUUGCCCGUCAUGCACAGCACGUUCCUGGGAACCUCGUGCUAAACCAUUCGCAGAUGACCUGCUUCUGGGUCGGGGUUUCCUACAUAGCAGAGCAGCUCCCUCGCUGCGAUCUAUUGAAAGUCAGCCCUCGACACAUGCGUUU
rnacentral:ncRNA from 1 species